UAGGCCUAACACAUGCAAGUCGAGCGGACAGAAGGGAGCUUGCUCCCGGAUGUUAGCGGCGGACGGGUGAGUAACACGUGGGUAACCUGCCUGUAAGACUGGGAUAACUCCGGGAAACCGGAGCUAAUACCGGAUAGUCCCUUGAACCGCAUGGUUCAAGGAUGAAAGACGGUUUCGGCUGUCACUUACAGAUGGACCCGCGGCGCAUUAGCUAGUUGGUGGGGUAAUGGCUCACCAAGGCGACGAUGCGUAGCCGACCUGAGAGGGUGAUCGGCCACACUGGGACUGAGACACGGCCCAGACUCCUACGGGAGGCAGCAGUAGGGAAUCUUCCGCAAUGGACGAAAGUCUGACGGAGCAACGCCGCGUGAGUGAUGAAGGUUUUCGGAUCGUAAAGCUCUGUUGUUAGGGAAGAACAAGUGCGAGAGUAACUGCUCGCACCUUGACGGUACCUAACCAGAAAGCCACGGCUAACUACGUGCCAGCAGCCGCGGUAAUACGUAGGUGGCAAGCGUUGUCCAGAAUUAUUGGGCGUAAAGGGCUCGCAGGCGGUUUCUUAAGUCUGAUGUGAAAGCCCCCGGCUCAACCGGGGAGGGUCAUUGGAAACUGGGAAACUUGAGUGCAGAAGAGGAGAGUGGAAUUCCACGUGU
rnacentral:rRNA from 1 species